UGGGGAAUAUUGGACAAUGGACCAAAAGUCUGAUCCAGCAAUUCUGUGUGCACGAUGACGUUUUUCGGAAUGUAAAGUGCUUUCAGUUGGGAAGAAAAAAAUGACGGUACCAACAGAAGAAGUGACGGCUAAAUACGUGCCAGCAGCCGCGGUAAUACGUAUGUCACAAGCGUUAUCCGGAUUUAUUGGGCGUAAAGCGCGUCUAGGUGGUUAUGUAAGUCUGAUGUGAAAAUGCAGGGCUCAACUCUGUAUUGCGUUGGAAACUGCAUGACUAGAGUACUGGAGGGGUAAGCGGAACUACAAGUGUAGAGGUGAAAUUCGUAGAUAUUUGUAGGAAUGCCGAUGGGGAAGCCAGCUUACUGGACAGAUACUGACGCUAAAGCGCGAAAGCGUGGGUAGCAAACAGGAUUAGAUACCCUGGUAGUCCACGCCGUAAACGAUGAUUACUAGGUGUUGGGGGUCGAACCUCAGCGCCCAAGCUAACGCGAUAAGUAAUCCGCCUGGGGAGUACGUACGCAAGUAUG
rnacentral:rRNA from 1 species